UACAGAGGUCCCAAGCGUUGUUCGGAUUCAUUGGGCGUAAAGGGUGCGUAGGCGGCGCGGUAAGUCGGGUGUGAAAUCUCGGAGCUUAACUCCGAAACUGCAUUCGAUACUGCCGUGCUUGAGGACUGGAGAGGAGACUGGAAUUUACGGUGUAGCGGUGAAAUGCGUAGAUAAUCGUAAGGAAGACCAGUGGCGAAGGCGGGUCUCGUGGACAGUUCCUGACGCUGAGGCACGAAGGCCAGGGGAGCAAACGGG
rnacentral:rRNA from 1 species